GACAGAGGUGCCGAGCGUUAGGCGGAAUCACUGGGCUUAAAGCGUGUGUAGGCGGGUCGUUAAGUGUCUUGUGAAAUCCCCCGGCUCAACCGGGGAAUGGCUGGGCAUACUGGCGAUCUUGAGCAGUCUAGGGGCAGAUGGAACAAGUGGUGGAGCGGUGAAAUGCGUAGAUAUCCUAAGGAACACCGGUGGCGAAAGCGGCUCACUGGGUCUCUUCUGACGCUGAGGCACGAAAGCUAGGGUAGCGAACGGG
rnacentral:rRNA from 1 species